rnacentral:lncRNA from 1 species
AGAAUUUGAACUUUGGAGGACCUGAACCAGCCGCUGGUGGGCUAUCCUUCUCCCUCUCAUCCUUUGUAGUAGUACUACAAUUAAAAAUAAUGAAAAUUUAUUCAAUCAAUGUCAGAGGCUGCUCAAUAUUGAUGAUAAAAAUGAACAUUCAGGAAGAUUAUAUGACUAAUUACAUGUUUCUCCAUAUUCCUAUAUUGGUGCUGAUGAAUCGAAGCCCUUGGUUCAUAGAGAAAUCAUGUCGCUUAGCCAUACCGUCUUGAUGUUGGAAACCUGGAGAGAUAUUGCCCGACUUAUAUUUGUAAGAAUGAAGUAGCGAUUCAAUGCAAUUUUGCAGCUUGUAAGAAGCAAAGCAACCUCUUCCAAACAUUGUCACCAAUUUUUUUCACACCAAUCCUAUUGAUAAAUGGCCAUUUAUAUGCUUCGUUCCAGGUUUUUAAGCAUCGCAAGCCCUUAGCAUCUUCUUCAUGACAUUUUCUCGUGGGAGUAGUUUCUUGCCAAUUUAUUAAAAUGGAAAAAAACGAAAGAGUGUUUCAGCACGCCAAGGGAUGAGAUGUUCAACUCAGGUUUGGCUUUGCACCAGGAAGAAAGUAAGCCUCUGACCUGUUCCUUGCAAGUUAAAACUGAUUCAACCAAGCUUAAAGGCAACCCAAAUAUUGCUUCUUGAACAUUGUUACUUCCACGAUUGAGCAAAAGCACGACAUUGCUAAGCAUGUGGGUUGUUCCUUCUAAGUAAAACACUUGCUAAUUAAGUAUUCAUGUAAAGUUUUUGAGAUUUGUGUUGUUAAAAACUCUUUUUGCUUACGUUUCGUUUGACUACGAAUAAUGAUUAUAUGAUUUACAAAAUGUGAUAAACACUACUGACUAUAUCAUUCUUAUCUUUAAAAAUGCCAUUCUUGUCAAAUUUGAAGAUGAUGCAUAUAAUUUUCAGCAAAAAAUAAGACGAUGCAGCAUGUAUAAUUGGUCAGGAAAUUAUAAAAAUUUGAAAUAAUUUAGUUAAUGGAUUAGCGAUAUAGCAUACCAAUAAGUUUCUAUGUAGCCGAAAUAAUUAUUGUUCUGAAUUACUUAAAAUGAUUUUUGGUAAGCAAAUUUAGCCUUAAUAGACCAUUGCAUUAGCCCAAGUUUUGUUCAGAAAAUAAUUUCUUCAUGCUUCAUUCGGAUGAUCGGUAUAUUUAGCGAUCCAUCACUAUGAUCUGAGAUUGAACCAUGAACUCUCUCGACAUGUUGAUGUUACAAAUGUUGGGCUUAGCUUUUAGACAAUUUGCUAAUUACUAGGAAAGUGUUAGGCCCAUUUAUAUCUUGCUGUUGUCUCAUUAUAUAACCUUCUUAUGUAUAUUUUUUAAAAUUUUAAUGUACAUCGUAUCAAUAGACAAUAUGGCAUUUGACAUAGUAUCAAAUAGAAAAAUUCUUCCAAUCAAGGAAUAUAUAACACUAGCAAUUGCAUUGACUAAAGUCUUCUAGAUAGAUUUUACUUCACUGCAGCCGAUGAACAUUGAACAAAGUUUUAAGAGUAGUAUUCUGCAGGCUUGCAACUAUAUGCCAAAAUGUCAUGAUCUUGCUCGAAUUGACGCAUGUUGCUUGGUUCCAAGGUUACCCAUGCUUCAAUUCCACUAUCAGACUUGGUGU